rnacentral:rRNA from 1 species
GAGUUUGAUCUUGGCUCAGAUUGAACGCUGGCGGCAUGCCUUACACAUGCAAGUCGAACGGUAACAGGUCUUCGGAUGCUGACGAGUGGCGAACGGGUGAGUAAUACAUCGGAACGUGCCCGAUCGUGGGGGGAUAACGGAGCGAAAGCUUUGCUAAUACCGCAUACGAUCUACGGAUGAAAGCAGGGGACCGCAAGGCCUUGCGCGGACGGAGCGGCCGAUGGCAGAUUAGGUAGUUGGUGGGAUAAAAGCCUACCAAGCCGACGAUCUGUAGCUGGUCUGAGAGGACGACCAGCCACACUGGGACUGAGACACGGCCCAGACUCCUACGGGAGGCAGCAGUGGGGAAUUUUGGACAAUGGGCGAAAGCCUGAUCCAGCCAUGCCGCGUGCAGGAUGAAGGCC